rnacentral:rRNA from 1 species
CGCGUAGGUGGCUCGUUAAGUUGCCGGUGAAAUCCCGGGGCUCAACUCCGGGGCUGCCGGUAAGACUGGCGGGCUCGAGCACGGUAGAGGCAGAUGGAAUUCCCGGUGUAGCGGUGGAAUGCGUAGAGAUCGGGAAGAACACCAGUGGCGAAGGCGUUCUGCUGGGCCGUUGCUGACACUGAGGCGCGACAGCGUGGGGAGCAAACA